rnacentral:rRNA from 1 species
UACAGAGGUGGCAAGCGUUGUUCGGAAUUACUGGGCGUAAAGGGCGCGUAGGCGGUCCGAUAAGUCCCGUGUGAAAUCCCUCGGCUCAACUGAGGAAUGGCACGGGAAACUGCCGGGCUUGAGUUCGGGAGAGGGAAGCGGAAUUCCGGGUGUAGCGGUGAAAUGCGUAGAUAUGGGGUGGAACACCGGUGGCGAAGGCGGCCAUCUGGACGGUAACUGACACUGAGGGACGAAAGCUAGGGGAGCGAAUGGG